CCUACGGGAGUCAGCAGUGGGGGAUAUUGCACAAUGGGGGAAACCCUGAUGCAGCGACGCCGCGUGGGUGAAGAAGCGCCUCGGCGCGUACAGCCCUGUCAGCAGGGAAGAAAAUGACGGUACCUGAAGAAGAAGCCCCGGCUAACUACGUGCCAGCAGCCGCGGUAAUACGUAGGGGGCAAGCGUUAUCCGGAUUUACUGGGUGUAAAGGGGGCGCAGACGGCGAUGCAAGCAAGGAGUGAAAGCCCGGGGCCCAACCCCGGGACUGCACUUGGAACUGCGUGGCUAGAGUGCAGGAGGGGCAGGCGGAAUUCCUGGUGUAGCGGUGAAAUGCGUAGAUAUCAGGAGGAACACCGGUGGCGAAGGCGGCCUGCUGGACUGCAACUGACGUUGAGGCCCGAAAGCGUGGGGAGCAAACAGGAUUAGAUACCCUGGUAGUC
rnacentral:rRNA from 1 species